AGCGAACGCUGGCGGCAGGCUUAACACAUGCAAGUCGAACGGGCAUCUUCGGAUGUCAGUGGCAGACGGGUGAGUAACACGUGGGAACGUACCCUUCGGUUCGGAAUAACUCAGGGAAACUUGAGCUAAUACCGGAUACGCCCUUUUGGGGAAAGGUUUACUGCCGAAGGAUCGGCCCGCGUCUGAUUAGCUUGUUGGUGGGGUAACGGCCUACCAAGGCGACGAUCAGUAGCUGGUCUGAGAGGAUGAUCAGCCACACUGGGACUGAGACACGGCCCAGACUCCUACGGGAGGCAGCAGUGGGGAAUAUUGGACAAUGGGCGCAAGCCUGAUCCAGCCAUGCCGCGUGAGUGAUGAAGGCCUUAGGGUUGUAAAGCUCUUUUGUCCGGGACGAUAAUGACGGUACCGGAAGAAUAAGCCCCGGCUAACUUCGUGC
rnacentral:rRNA from 1 species